GACGGAGCCACCCAGGAGCCCCGGGAAAUUUCUGUUGUUUUAAGCCACGCAGCUUGUGGUACUUUGAUAAGGCAGCCCCAGGAAACGCAUCAGGUCCCCAGAGCAUAUUCUGUCCCCGACUUGAUUCCUCUAAUAAACUCCAAAGCUAGCAACAAGCUGGCAAACAACUCAGGCCACGCCCCUGUUCACCACCAUCCCUAUUCCCCCAUUCCCACCUCUGCGUGCAGGUCCCCAGGACCAGAGGCUGCAGCAUCUCCGGGAGGUACGUGCUCGCCCAUAUAUCCACAGCAGCCUUCUUCACGGUAGCUGAGGGGUACGAGCCACGCAAAUGUUCAUCGACGGGUAAGUGGAUCAUCGAAAGGUGGCCUAGCCCUACCAGGGAAUAUUAUUCAGCCCCGAAAAGGAGGGAAAUUCUGACACCGGCUACGAUGCGGAUGAACCCUGAGGACGACGUGACGCUAAGGGAGAUCAGCCAGUCCACAAAGGACAAGAACUGUGGGAGCCCACUCCCAAAAGGCAGCUAGACAGACCCACGGGGACAGAAGGAAGAUCGGACGCCACAUUCAUUUGGCCGUCACGUCUCCUUAGCCUCUUACAGACCGUGCCCAUUUCUCAGACUUCCUUGUUUUUGACAAUCUGAUAGUUUCCACGACCUCAGAUAAAUAAACAUUAAACAAUUUAUAAAUGAGGAGACGAAGGCUAGCUGGCAAGGUUAAGCUUGAAGAUACUCAUCACUGGUAGUGGAUGGUCAGGGUCCUUCCCUGUGCCUCUCUGCUCCAUGAGACUUCUACCCACCGCUCAAGUCAAGCCAGUCUGGGAGGCAGGGGACAAGGAGAGCAAACGGCACCAGACACGAGCUCUCCCUGAUGGCUGAGUGGACGCAGAGGCGUAGACAGUCCCCUACGUGGCAGGUGACUCUGGAAGGACCCAAGUGAACCCUGACCGUGCGCUUGGCAGCUGGGACACCCUGCUGGCUGCUUCACCCCCACGGCUCUGU